rnacentral:rRNA from 1 species
UGUUUGGCGCAGCUACACAUGCAGUCGAGCGGAAACGAGUUAACUGAACCUUCGGGGAACGUUAACGGCGUCGAGCGGCGGACGGGUGAGUAAUGCCUAGGAAAUUGCCCUGAUGUGGGGGAUAACCAUUGGAAACGAUGGCUAAUACCGCAUGAUGCCUACGGGCCAAAGAGGGGGACCUUCGGGCCUCUCGCGUCAGGAUAUGCCUAGGUGGGAUUAGCUAGUUGGUGAGGUAAGGGCUCACCAAGGCGACGAUCCCUAGCUGGUCUGAGAGGAUGAUCAGCCACACUGGAACUGAGACACGGUCCAGACUCCUACGGGAGGCAGCAGUGGGGAAUAUUGCACAAUGGGCGCAAGCCUGAUGCAGCCAUGCCGCGUGUGUGAAGAAGGCCUUCGGGUUGUAAAGCACUUUCAGUCGUGAGGAAGGUAGUGUGUUUAAUAGCUGCUUUAUUUGACGUUAGCGACAGAAGAAGCACCGGCUAACUCCGUGCCAGCAGCCGCGGUAAUACGGAGGGUGCGAGCGUUAAUCGGAAUUACUGGGCGUAAAGCGCAUGCAGGUGGUUUGUUAAGUCAGAUGUGAAAGCCCGGGGCUCAACCUCGGAAUAGCAUUUGAAACUGGCAGACUAGAGUACUGUAGAGGGGGGUAGAAUUUCAGGUGUAGCGGUGAAAUGCGUAGAGAUCUGAAGGAAUACCGGUGGCGAAGGCGGCCCCCUGGACAGAUACUGACACUCAGAUGCGAAAGCGUGGGGAGCAAACAGGAUUAGAUACCCUGGUAGUCCACGCCGUAAACGAUGUCUACUUGGAGGUUGUGGCCUUGAGCCGUGGCUUUCGGAGCUAACGCGUUAAGUAGACCGCCUGGGGAGUACGGUCGCAAGAUUAAAACUCAAAUGAAUUGACGGGGGCCCGCACAAGCGGUGGAGCAUGUGGUUUAAUUCGAUGCAACGCGAAGAACCUUACCUACUCUUGACAUCCAGAGAACUUUCCAGAGAUGGAUUGGUGCCUUCGGGAACUCUGAGACAGGUGCUGCAUGGCUGUCGUCAGCUCGUGUUGUGAAAUGUUGGGUUAAGUCCCGCAACGAGCGCAACCCUUAUCCUUGUUUGCCAGCGAGUAAUGUCGGGAACUCCAGGGAGACUGCCGGUGAUAAACCGGAGGAAGGUGGGGACGACGUCAAGUCAUCAUGGCCCUUACGAGUAGGGCUACACACGUGCUACAAUGGCGCAUACAGAGGGCGGCCAACUUGCGAAAGUGAGCGAAUCCCAAAAAGUGCGUCGUAGUCCGGAUUGGAGUCUGCAACUCGACUCCAUGAAGUCGGAAUCGCUAGUAAUCGUGGAUCAGAAUGCCACGGUGAAUACGUUCCCGGGCCUUGUACACACCGCCCGUCACACCAUGGGAGUGGGCUGCAAAAGAAGUAGGUAGUUUAACCUUCGGGGGGA